UGUGACUUAGUUUAUUUAGAACUACCAACUUGCACUUGGUAAGUGAGACACCUCAGUGACGG
rnacentral:tRNA from 2 species